GGGGUGUAGCUCAGUUGUAAAGUGCUUGCUUAGCAAGCACAAGGCCCUGGGCUAGAUUCCCAGCACCACCA
rfam:Ictidomys tridecemlineatus contig070005, whole genome shotgun sequence.